UACAGAGGUCCCGAGCGUUGUUCGGAUUCAUUGGGCGUAAAGGGUGUGUAGGAGGUCAGGCAAGUCGGGUGUGAAAUCUCUCCGCUUAACGGAGAAAUGGCAUUCGAAACUGCUUGGCUCGAGGAUUGGAGGGGGAGGCGGAAUUCAUGGUGUAGCAGUGAAAUGCGUAGAUAUCAUGAGGAACACCGGUGGCGUAGGCGGCCUCCUGGAAAACUCCUGACUCUGAAACACGAAAGCCAGGGGAGCAAACAGG
rnacentral:rRNA from 1 species